UACGUAGGUGGCAAGCGUUGUUCGGAAUUAUUGGGCGUAAAGGGCGCGUAGGCGGUUUGUUAAGUCGGCUGUGAAAGCCCGGGGCUCAACCCCGGAGGGUCAGCCGAUACUGGCAGACUAGAGUACGGAAGAGGUAGCUGGAAUUCCCGGUGUAGCGGUGAAAUGCGUAGAUAUCAGGAGGAACACCAGCGGCGAAGGCGGCGCUCUGGGCCGGAACUGACGCUGAGGAGCGAAAGCGUGGGGAGCAAACAGG
rnacentral:rRNA from 1 species